UACGGAGGGGGCUAGCGUUGUUCGGAAUUACUGGGCGUAAAGCGCGCGUAGGCGGACCUGCAAGUCGGGGGUGAAAGCCCGAGGCUCAACCUCGGAACUGCCUUCGAUACUGCGGGUCUCGAGUCCGGGAGAGGUGAGUGGAAUUCCUAGUGUAGAGGUGAAAUUCGUAGAUAUUAGGAGGAACACCAAUGGCGAAGGCAGCUCGCUGGGACGUGGACUGACGCUGAGACGCGAAAGCGUGGGGAGCAAACAGG
rnacentral:rRNA from 1 species